rnacentral:rRNA from 1 species
CAAUAGCGUAUAUUAACGUUGUUGCAGUUAAAAAGCUCGUAGUUGGAUUUCUGGAGGGAGCGUCGGCCCGUAUUUACGAGUGCGUGACGUCUCUGUCCAUCCUUGCGGGAAGGCACGGCAUUGAUUUGUUGUGUCGGAUCGCAUCAUUUACUGUGAAAAAAUUAGAGUGUUCAAAGCAGGCUUUCGCUUGAAUACAUUAGCAUGGAAUAAUAAGAUAGGACUUUGGUGCUAUUUUGUUGGUUGAGCCUAAAGGAAUGAUUAAUAGGGAUAGUUGGGGGCACCUGUAUUGCGUUGUCAGAGGUGAAAUUCUUGGAUUUACGCAAGACAAACAGCUGCGAAAGCGUCUGCCAAGGAUGUUUUCAUUAA